rnacentral:rRNA from 1 species
GUGGAUUAGAUACCCUAGUAGUCCACGCCAUAAACGAUGAGCACUAGGUGUCGCGGGUAUUGACCCCUGCGGUGCCGCCGCUAACGCAUUAAGUGCUCCGCCUGGGGACUACGGCCGCAAGGUUAAAACUCAAAGGAAUUGACGGGGGCCCGCACAAGCGGUGGAGCAUGUGGUUCAAUUCGACGCAACGCGCAGAACCUUACCUGGGCUAGACAACAUCGGACAGUCCUGGAGACAGGAUCUUCCCUUCGGGGACCGGUGGUUCAGGUGCUGCACGGCUGUCGUCCGCU